GCUGGCAGAAGGAUAUAUCUACUGUACUGUCGUUGACAUAUCUGUGUGUUCAAUUUCAUCCGUUUUUUUGGUUAAAAAUGUAACAUAGCGGUUCAUAAUUAACUACCAAAUUCAAGAUGUGGCAGCCCGAUCCUUUCCACAAUGAGUUGGUCUCUAUUAUGGAUGAAUUAAUCAUGUCGUUGGAAGAGGAAAUUUGCAAAUGUAUGGCGUUGUCGGUCUCCUCAACACAAUACAGCACAGACAUUGAUGCAGGAGAGACAGGGGAAAUUGAAAGAGAAUCCAAGUUGCUAAAAGUCGAGUUGACAUGUGUGAUGAAAAAGUUCGUGAAACAGACUCUCGCCAAAAUCAACCAGUUGAUCUCUAAAGGCACUGAAGCACUGCGUUCAGAGAUAUGCCAGAGUCAAAAUGAGAUGAAAUCUCUGAAAAUGAAGCUAUUGGAGAUGACUGUUGGUAAGGAAGUACCUGAAAAUACAGUGGAAAGAACCUCACAGACAGAGGAAGAGGAGGAAUGGACAGAAGCAUCAUUAUCACCAGAGUUUGCAGAGGAUUUUCAGGUUGACGUGCCAACUCCCAGUGGUGAGGCUGACAACACUACAAAUGUCAAGAAGGAGACCACGAUCAGAGCUAAAACCAUAGCGUUGGAACAGUCAUUUACAUCUCUAGCUAAAAUACCUUCCUCCUCACUCAUUGAGUCUAUCAAACAGGUGGCUAUUACAGACAAACAGGCAGCAAGCAGGCCUACAGACAAACAGUCAGCGAGCAGGCCUACAGAUGAUCAGGCCCCAAGUACAGACCCCCAAACUCCCAGUGGGGACUCUGUGGUGUCCACCAGACCCAGGAGGAAGAAGAAGAGAAUAGAAGCACAACCCACAGCGGCAGAAUCAGACAGAAGUGAGGAAAACGCUGAUGACCAAUGGGAGGAGGAGAAUGCUAAAGCUGGACAAACCUCGAAUGAUGAAUAUGUUCACAACAUAAAGCCAAGGCCCAACAUAAAGAAAAACCAGACGACCACCACCAGGAAAGAGCACCACUGUCUGGACUGCGGUAAGAUUUUUAAGAAUUCAAGUAAUUUAAAACUGCAUCAACAGACUCACACAGGAGAGAGACCUUAUUGUUGUGAAUUAUGCGGGAAAUUUUUCCCGACUGCUUGGAAGCUCAGAAUACACCAAGCAGUGGUCCACAGAAGAGAGAAGCCACUUGAGUGUCCAACAUGUGGGAAGUGCUUUGCAACAAAGAGUUAUUUGGACACUCACGCAAGCGUUCAUUCAACAGAGAAACCGUUCCGAUGCCUCGUGUGUCAGAAGUGUUUUAAAAGUAAAAAGGGCUUCAAGGAACACACAAUGAUGCACAAUUCAAAUUCAGAUUCAUAUGCGUGUGACAAAUGUCCAAAAACCUUUGUUAAGUUGAAAUACCUCAAGAAUCACCAGCUAACUCACAGUGGGGGAGGAGCUCACCGUUGUGAAUUGUGUGGGAAAGGUUUCAAGACUCCUUCUCAGCUCAAACAACACCAAGCAUCAGUCCAUAGGGGAGAGAAGCCAUUCCAAUGUCCCACAUGUGGGAAAUGCUUCGCAACAAAGACAAAUUUGAAAAUUCACACAAGUGUUCAUUCAGGAGAGAGAGCAUUCCAGUGCCCUCAGUGUCAGAUGUGUUUCAAAACCAAGUAUACUCUUAAUGCCCAUAAGAAGACACACACGGACUCCAAGCCAUAUGCUUGUGACAAAUGCCCAAUGACCUUUAUCCGGUCACAUUACCUCAGAAGGCAUGAAAUCUCGCACCUGACCAGCAAGCCAUUCGUGUGCAGCCACUGUGGGAAAGGCUUUAAAGGUGAACGUGGGCUCAAGGCACACGAACGCACCCACACCGAAGACCCAACUUAUACCUGUGACGAAUGUGGCAAGGGUUUCUAUCAACACGAAUCGUUUCAAGUCCAUGCGGCCUUGCACACCGGAGAGAAGCCGUUCACCUGUGAUUGCUGCAGUAAAAACUUUGCUCUGGCAUCCUACCUUAAAACCCACAUCGCAAAUCAUCACUCUGUCACCAAACCCCACGUCUGUGGGAAAUGUGGCAGGAAAUAUAAGGAUUUCACCCAUUUCAGAAUCCAUAUGUUUCAGGGUUGUCAAGAGUAGGCUGCAGCUUUUGGUUUGACGACUUAUUGUUAUAAGUUGUAAUAUGUUAUGUUUUCACUACAAACAUGCAUGUUUCCUUGCACAGUACCAAUAACAUUUGUUUUGAAUAGAUUGUUUUUUAUGUCUACAGACGUGGCCAUUAAUAAAAACCUUACCAGGGGAUCUAUAAACCUCUCUUAAAUUGCACCUCUGGUUGGAUGCAGGUUAAAGGCACAACCUGUAACUUUCAUUCUGACAAUGCUUUGUCAUUCAUUGUUAUUUUGGAAUUGUGAUUAAAGUUGUAAUGUUCUUAUUUCACUACAAA